UUUUGCCUGGUAUCUAUUAAUGUGGAAAAUACAUAGUAUUAAACAGGAAGAGUAAAUUACUUGAAACAAAGAGCAAUAAUGAUCUUACUUUCUGAGGAAAAAGAGAAUCAAGUUUCUUAAUUCUUACUUUGAGAAGAUCAGUGUUGUUGGAAUAUCUAACAUUGAUAUUUGAGUUCAGAGAAAAGACAUUGGCAGGUUAGUAUAACAAGGUUCUCUUGAGUUAAGAGAUCAUCAUCAUGGAAUGCAUUAGUACCUGGGCCUUGAUUGCCAUGGAAGAUAUCUGGGUUUUGCCAAAUCAAGUCUUGGGCCAGAAUUAAUCUCAAAUAAGGUAACUUAACCAUGUGGACAUGCACUUGGGAGAGGUGUGUGUGUGUGUGUGUGUGUGUGUAUGUGUGUGAUCAAAUGGUAUUUCACUGGGAAUCAAGAAUUAUGUUGGUAUAUAUUAUGGUAUAUGUAUUAUGGUUUAAAAUAACCCUGGAGAGAGAAAUUUUUUUCCUCUAAGAAACAAAUAUUGAAACUCUAGCAGCAAUGUCCAUUGUUACAUGAACACAUAAGGGAGAACACCAUACAGAAAUUGCCUGUUUGCAGGAAUAAUAUUGCAUACUAGUAAAAGCAGCAAUGGAAGCAGAGAAUUGAUUCUGAUUGCUGGAAGAUCAUACCUUCAAGUUUUACCCAUUGGACCAAAUGAAGCCACUGACUCCUUGGACUCAUGUCAGACUGCUGCUCUACUUAAGAAGAGAGGAAGAAGAAUUUUCAAUACCAAAAAAUAGGGAGGAAAAGUCACAUAUGAUAUGUGCUGACUACAAUUCCUGUUUCCAUCUCCUCAUCUCUCAUUAACUCUCAGUGCCCUCCAGUCUACCAUCUAGCCCACCAUGGCACCAGAUAACUCCAGAUGAUUCUCCACAAAGCAUCCAGACAAUCCUUUCAAAAUAUGGAGCUGCACAGCCAUCUUGUAAACCUGCAGGAAAUCACUCACUAUGGAUGACAGAGCAGAAAGACAGAAGCAGCUUCGGUCUUCAUUGAUUGCACAGAGCUACUAGGCUAACGGUCAACUGCUUACCUUUGGGGUUCUUUUAUGUGAAAGAAUAAAUCAUGUCGUGUCUCA